GACGAACGCUGGCGGCGUGCCUAAUACAUGCAAGUAGAACGCUGAAGGAGGAGCUUGCUCUUCUGGAUGAGUUGCGAACGGGUGAGUAACGCGUAGGUAACCUGCCUUGUAGCGGGGGAUAACUAUUGGAAACGAUAGCUAAUACCGCAUAACAGUAGAUGUUGCAUGACAUUUGCUUAAAAGGUGCAAUUGCAUCACUACCAGAUGGACCUGCGUUGUAUUAGCUAGUUGGUGGGGUAACGGCUCACCAAGGCGACGAUACAUAGCCGACCUGAGAGGGUGAUCGGCCAGACUGGGACUGAGACACGGCCCAGACUCCUACGGGAGGCAGCAGUAGGGAAUCUUCGGCAAUGGGCGGAAGUCUGACCGAGCAACGCCGCGUGAGUGAAGAAGGUUUUCGGAUCGUAGAGCUCUGUUGUAAGAGAAGAAUGAGUGUGAGAGUGGAAAGUUCACACUGUGACGGUAUCUGACCAGAAAGGGACGGCUAACUACGUG
rnacentral:rRNA from 1 species